rnacentral:rRNA from 1 species
UAGUGGCGAACGGGUGAGUAACACGUGGGCAAUCUGCCCUUCACUCUGGGACAAGCCCUGGAAACGGGGUCUAAUACCGGAUACCACUCCUGCCCGCAUGGGUGGGGGUUGAAAGCUCCGGCGGUGAAGGAUGAGCCCGCGGCCUAUCAGCUUGUUGGUGGGGUAAUGGCCCACCAAGGCGACGACGGGUAGCCGGCCUGAGAGGGCGACCGGCCACACUGGGACUGAGACACGGCCCAGACUCCUACGGGAGGCAGCAGUGGGGAAUAUUGCACAAUGGGCGAAAGCCUGAUGCAGCGACGCCGCGUGAGGGAUGACGGCCUUCGGGUUGUAAACCUCUUUCAGCAGGGAAGAAGCGAAAGUGACGGUACCUGCAGAAGAAGCGCCGGCUAACUACGUGCCAGCAGCCGCGGUAAUACGUAGGGCGCAAGCGUUGUCCGGAAUUAUUGGGCGUAAAGAGCUCGUAGGCGGCUUGUCACGUCGGAUGUGAAAGCCCGAGGCUUAACCUCGGGUCUGCAUUCGAUACGGGCUAGCUAGAGUGUG